rnacentral:rRNA from 1 species
ACAUAGGGUGCAAGCGUUGUCCGGAUUUAUUGGGCGUAAAGAGUUCGUAGGCGGUUUUUCGCGUCGGAUGUGAAAACUCAGGGCUCAACCCUGAGCCUGCAUUCGAUACGGGAAGACUCGAGGACGGCAGGGGAGACUGGAACUUCUGGUGUAGCGGUGGAAUGCGCAGAUAUCAGAAAGAACACCAAUGGCGAAGGCAGGUCUCUGGGCCGAUCCUGACGCUGAGGAACGAAAGCGUGGGGAGCAAACAGG